UACGUAGGGGGCUAGCGUUGUCCGGAAUCAUUGGGCGUAAAGCGCGUGUAGGCGGUCCGGUAAGUCCGCUGUGAAAGUCGAGGGCUCAACCCUCGAAUGCCGGUGGAUACUGUCGGGCUUGAGUACGGGAGAGGCGAGUGGAAUUCCUGGUGUAGCGGUGAAAUGCGCAGAUAUCAGGAGGAACACCGAUUGCGAAGGCAGCUCGCUGGAACGUUACUGACGCUGAGACGCGAAAGCGUGGGAGCAAACAGG
rnacentral:rRNA from 1 species